rnacentral:rRNA from 1 species
AAUGGGCGCAAGCCUGAUCCAGCCAUGCCGCGUGAGUGAAGAAGGCCCUCGGGUUGUAAAGCUCUUUUGUCCGGAAAGAAAAGCGCCGGGUUAAUACCCUGGUGUCCUGACGGUACCGGAAGAAUAAGCACCGGCUAACUUCGUGCCAGCAGCCGCGGUAAUACGAAGGGUGCAAGCGUUACUCGGAAUUACUGGGCGUAAAGCGUGCGUAGGUGGUUCGUUAAGUCCGAUGUGAAAGCCCUGGGCUCAACCUGGGAAUGGCAUUGGAUACUGGCGGGCUAGAGUGCGGUAGAGGGUAGUGGAAUUCCCGGUGUAGCAGUGAAAUGCGUAGAGAUCGGGAGGAACAUCCGUGGCGAAGGCGACUACCUGGACCAGCACUGACACUGAGGCACGAAAGCGUGGGGAGCAAA